rnacentral:misc_RNA from 1 species
GAUGAAGAACGCAGCAAAAUGCGAUAAGUAAUGCGAAUUGCAGAAUUUCCGUGAGUCAUCGAAUCUUUGAACGCACAUUGCGCCCGCCAGUAUUCUGGCGGGCAUGCCUGUUCGAGCGUCAUUUCAACCCUCAAGCCCUCGGGUUUGGUGUUGGGGAUCGGCGAGCCUUUCUGGCAAGCCGGCCCCGAAAUCUAGUGGCGGUCUCGCUGCAGCCUCCAUUGCGUAGUAGUAAAACCCUCGCAACUGGAACGCGGCGCGGCCAAGCCGUUAAACCCCCAACUUCUGAAUGUUGACCUCGGAUCAGGUAGGAAUACCCGCUGAACUUAAGCAUAUCAAUAAGCGGAGGA